GAUGAACGCUGGCGGCGUGCCUAAUACAUGCAAGUCGAGCGAACGGACGAGAAGCUUGCUUCUCUGAUGUUAGCGGCGGACGGGUGAGUAACACGUGGAUAACCUACCUAUAAGACUGGGAUAACUUCGGGAAACCGGAGCUAAUACCGGAUAAUAUUUUGAACCGCAUGGUUCAAAAGUGAAAGACGGUCUUGCUGUCACUUAUAGAUGGAUCCGCGCUGCAUUAGCUAGUUGGUAAGGUAACGGCUUACCAAGGCAACGAUGCAUAGCCGACCUGAGAGGGUGAUCGGCCACACUGGAACUGAGACACGGUCCAGACUCCUACGGGAGGCAGCAGUAGGGAAUCUUCCGCAAAGGGCGAAAGCCUGACGGAGCAACGCCGCGUGAGUGAUGAAGGUCUUCGGAUCGUAAAACUCUGUUAUUAGGGAAGAACAUAUGUGUAAGUAACUGUGCACAUCUUGACGGUACCUAAUCAGAAAGCCACGACUAACUACGUG
rnacentral:rRNA from 1 species